GGGGGACCAUCCUCCAAGGCUAAAUACUCCUGACUGACCGAUAGUGAACCAGUACCGUGAGGGAAAGGCGAAAAGAACCCCGGCGAGGGGAGUGAAAAAGAACCUGAAACCGUGUACGUACAAGCAGUGGGAGCACGCUUAGGCGUGUGACUGCGUACCUUUUGUAUAAUGGGUCAGCGACUUAUAUUCUGUAGCAAGGUUAACCGAAUAGGGGAGCCGAAGGGAAACCGAGUCUUAACUGGGCGUUAAGUUGCAGGGUAUAGACCCGAAACCCGGUGAUCUAGCCAUGGGCAGGUUGAAGGUUGGGUAACACUAACUGGAGGACCGAACCGACUAAUGUUGAAAAAUUAGCGGAUGACUUGUGGCUGGGGGUGAAAGGCCAAUCAAACCGGGAGAUAGCUGGUUCUCCCCGAAAGCUAUUUAGGUAGCGCCUCGUGAAUUCAUCUCCGGGGGUAGAGCACUGUUUCGGCAAGGGGGUCAUCCCGACUUACCAACCCGAUGCAAACUGCGAAUACCGGAGAAUGUUAUCACGGGAGACACACGGCGGGUGCUAACGUCCGUCGUGAAGAGGGAAACAACCCAGACCGCCAGCUAAGGUCCCAAAGUCAUGGUUAAGUGGGAAACGAUGUGGGAAGGCCCAGACAGCCAGGAUGUUGGCUUAGAAGCAGCCAUCAUUUAAAGAAAGCGUAAUAGCUCACUGGUCGAGUCGGCCUGCGCGGAAGAUGUAACGGGGCUAAACCAUGCACCGAAGCUGCGGCAGCGACGCUUAUGCGUUGUUGGGUAGGGGAGCGUUCUGUAAGCCUGCGAAGGUGUGCUGUGAGGCAUGCUGGAGGUAUCAGAAGUGCGAAUGCUGACAUAAGUAACGAUAAAGCGGGUGAAAAGCCCGCUCGCCGGAAGACCAAGGGUUCCUGUCCAACGUUAAUCGGGGCAGGGUGAGUCGACCCCUAAGGCGAGGCCGAAAGGCGUAGUCGAUGGGAAACAGGUUAAUAUUCCUGUACUUGGUGUUACUGCGAAGGGGGGACGGAGAAGGCUAUGUUGGCCGGGCGACGGUUGUCCCGGUUUAAGCGUGUAGGCUGGUUUUCCAGGCAAAUCCGGAAAAUCAAGGCUGAGGCGUGAUGACGAGGCACUACGGUGCUGAAGCAACAAAUGCCCUGCUUCCAGGAAAAGCCUCUAAGCAUCAGGUAACAUCAAAUCGUACCCCAAACCGACACAGGUGGUCAGGUAGAGAAUACCAAGGCGCUUGAGAGAACUCGGGUGAAGGAACUAGGCAAAAUGGUGCCGUAACUUCGGGAGAAGGCACGCUGAUAUGUAGGUGAAGUCCCUCGCGGAUGGAGCUGAAAUCAGUCGAAGAUACCAGCUGGCUGCAACUGUUUAUUAAAAACACAGCACUGUGCAAACACGAAAGUGGACGUAUACGGUGUGACGCCUGCCCGGUGCCGGAAGGUUAAUUGAUGGGGUUAGCGCAAGCGAAGCUCUUGAUCGAAGCCCCGGUAAACGGCGGCCGUAACUAUAACGGUCCUAAGGUAGCGAAAUUCCUUGUCGGGUAAGUUCCGACCUG
rnacentral:rRNA from 1 species